CCCGCACAAGCGGUGGAGCAUGUGGUUUAAUUCGAUGAUACGCGAGGAACCUUACCUGGGCUCGAACGUAAGAUGACUGUAGGUGAAAGCUUACAUCUCUUCGGAGCAUUUUACGAGGUGCUGCAUGGUUGUCGUCAGCUCGUGCCGUGAGGUGUCGGGUUAAGUCCCAUAACGAGCGCAACCCCUACCUUUAGUUGCCAUCAGGUAAUGCUGGGGACUCUAAAGGAACUGCCUACGCAAGUAGUGAGGAAGGCGGGGAUGACGUCAAAUCAGCACGGCCCUUACGUCCGGGGCUACACACGUGCUACAAUGGCCGAUACAGAGGGCAGCUACCUGGUGACAGGAUGCAAAUCUCCAAAGUCGGUCUCAGUUCGGAUCGGAGUCUGCAACCCGACUCCGUGAAGUUGGAUUCGCUAGUAAUCGCGCAUCAGCCAUGGCGCGGUGAAUACGUUCCCGGGCCUU
rnacentral:rRNA from 1 species